GCAGGGGUGGCGGAGCCUGGAAAACGCGCGGGGCUUAGAACCCCGUGGCCAAGCGCCUACGCAGGUUCAAAUCCUGCCCCCUGCACCA
rnacentral:tRNA from 1 species